rnacentral:rRNA from 2 species
UGGGGAAUAUUGCACAAUGGGGGAAACCCUGAUGCAGCGACGCCGCGUGAGUGAAGAAGUAUUUCGGUAUGUAAAGCUCUAUCAGCAGGGACGAUAAUGACGGUACCUGACUAAGAAGCCCCGGCUAACUACGUGCCAGCAGCCGCGGUAAUACGUAGGGGGCAAGCGUUAUCCGGAUUUACUGGGUGUAAAGGGAGCGUAGGUGGUAUGGUAAGUCAGGUGUGAAAGCCCGGGGCUCAACUCCGGGAUUGCAUUUGAAACUACCAAACUAGAGUGCAGGAGAGGUAAGUGGAAUUCCUAGUGUAGCGGUGAAAUGCGUAGAUAUUAGGAGGAACACCAGUGGCGAAGGCGGCUUACUGGACUGUAACUGACACUGAGGCUCGAAAGCGUGGGGAGCAAACAGG